rnacentral:lncRNA from 1 species
GCGGAGCGGCCCGAGUGGCCAGGUGCGCCCGGGGACGGACUAGACCUGGUGUGGACAACUAUAAGAGCGCGUUGGGCCCGGAGGCUUAAGGGACUACAUUUCCCAAGGGGCGCCGCGGCCGGAAGGGGCCCAGUGCGCAGGCGCACAGGGGCGCCUUGGGCUAUAUAAGGGAGGU